AGAGGGGGUAAGCGGGUGGAGUGGGUGGUAGGGUUACCAUGGCAAAAGUGCCGACUAAGCCAUAACCCUCUUGUUUGCCCAAACCGCCACAAUAUAAAUUCAUUCAUAUCUGAAGAGCGAGAUAUGUAAGAUAUCUGACUUUUGCCACUCUAGGUAGCCCACUGCCAUAAGUCCUAUAGCCCGGAAGAGCUUCUCUCAUCUCGGCACCAUUUGGCGCUCGUUUUCCGUCAACACCGAGCAGCGGGCGUGGAAAAAUCCCACCACAACUAUUAAUCAUUUGGGGCGGACAUAGACAGCAUCCCACUCCCACACCAGCCUUUGUCUUCUCAAACUACAAGUUGAACGAUGCGGAGCUGUCACCGGGACUGUACGGCUCGACAUGACUCGACAUUAGAAUCUAAUCCCACGUUGCCUUUCGCCACCGCACCUGAACUCUUCCUUGACUCGAGUCAUGGAAAGCCGAGUGGGAAGUUAUUUUGGAAACCAAAAGGCCCUCGGUUGGUAGCCUACUUUUUAAACUUUUUUCUUACACUUUUUUUCCAGUCUUACAUUUUGCUCAAAAGUAGUAGUUGAUUUAUUAUGUUAUAAAUCUCAACAGUUUUUGUCAGAAAACAAAUAUUUGAAAGUUAUUUACACAAAUCAGGGCUCCUUAUCACUGUCAGCAAAGAGGAGUUAAAGGCACAGACCUCUGGAUGUUGGCCAGACGGCGGUCCAUAUCUUCCCACAAUGUUGACACUCGGAGCUCUUAACAGCCAAGCUUGGGUUACCGAUACACUCUGCCGAAGAUAACUCCUUGUUGUGCGAGGUUUACAUCGGCCAACAUCAAGGCUAAUGCGAAACUAAACUGACUUGAAGCCAUCUCUCGUGGAUACUGACGGACACGGACAGCGUAAUUGUUUGCGUAAAGGUGGUUGUAAUAAAAUUAUUUGAAUUAUCGUGUUGAA